AAACAUACGCUGUUUUCUAAGACUUAAGCCAUGCAGGUGCUACACUACAUACGUGAAUUCGUGAGACUGCGGAAGGCUCAGUAAAUCAGUUAUCAUCUAUUUGAUUGUCUAGCCCAUUGGAUAACCGUGGGAAAUCUAGAGCUAAUACAUGUAGUUAAUUGGUGGUGUAGUAUUUAUAUUGUACCACCAAUGCAUUUAUUAGAUGAAGCCAACUGCUUGUUGGGGGUGCAAAUCUCCAACUUGUAAGGUGAGUCUAGAUAACUGUGCAGAUCGUAUGGCCUUGUGCUGACGACGUUUCAAUUGAAUUUCUGCCCUAUCAACUAGUUGGUAAGGUAGUAGUCAACCAAGGUUGUGACGGGUAACGGGGAAUCAGGGUUCGAUUCCGGAGAGGGAGCUUGAGAAUUGGCUACCACAUCCAAGGAAGGCAGCAGGCGCGCAAAUUACCCAAUUCAGACAGUGAGAGGUGGUGACGAGAAUUACCAAGUGGUGACCAUAAGGUUGCCAAUUUGGAAUGAACGUAAUUUAAGAAAUUCGAUGAGUAACAACUGGAGGGCAAGUCCGGUGCCAGCAGCCGCGUAAUUCCGGCUCCAGUAGCGUAUUUUAAAAUUGUUGCGCUUAAAACNCUCGUAGUUGGAUGACACAGUCAUGAUCAGUUGAUUGUCAUGGUUAUACAUUAAACUUUGACUCUCUACUGUAGAUGUCUAACGACGUAUAUGUGUUGAGUUGAAAGUAUAACUAUGGCAAUUGUGUGCUGAAUGUGACUAGUUGCACGUGAGGAUGAUGGUUGACCUUUAGUGCGUUGACUGUUAUGUCUCACGGAGGUUGCCUUGAAUAAAUCAGAGUGCUCAAAGCAGGCUUUAAGCUUGAAUGUUAAUAGCAUGGAACGAACAAACGUGUUUAUGUAUAAUAUAAUUGAUUUUGAUUUGUCUAUGAUAGAUUAUUGUUGUUUUUGUGUUGUACUGCACCAACCACCAAUAACGGACGUUGGUUCCGUAUUGGGGUGAUGAUUAAAAAGAGCGGUUGGGGGCAUUGGUAUUUGUCCGCGAGAGGUGAAAUUCUUGGACCGGACAAGGACUAACAAAUGCGAAGGCAUUUGCCUAGACCGUCUCUAUUAAUCAAGAACGAUAGAGGAAGGAUNCGAAGAGGAUCAGAUACCCUCGUAGUUUCCUCCGUUAAACUCACUGCGCAACCCGGGAUGAGUUUAGAGCUAAUUAUAACGCUCUAGGUUGGUCCCCCUGNGAGAUACCUGAAGUUUUUCGGUUGCGGGGGGAGUAUGGGGUUGCAAAGCUGAAACUUAAAGGAAUUGACGGAAGGGCACCACCAGGAGUGGAGUGCGGCUUAAUUUGACUCAACACGGGAAAACUUACUCGGUUCGGACAUUGACAGGAUAAACAGUUUGAUAGNACUUUUUUGAUACGGUGAAUGGUGGUGCAUGGCCGUUUUUAGUUCGUGGAGUAAUCUGUCAGGCUAACCCCGGUAACGAACGAGAUCAGCGUCUCCAUUUGGGGUGUACAAGAAAUGUAUCGGUAGUGCUGCAUUGUUUCGACAGUGUCACAUUUAUUGAUAGUUAUAGGCUGUGUGAGUGUGCUGUUGUUGAUGGUUGUACCAAUUGGUUUACUAGUUGGUGUGGCUUAAAGUGGCUGCUUAGCUUGCACUCCCUUGUACCAAACAGUAUACAGUGUAAACUGUAUGCUGUCUCAUGGAGAGACGGGUGGAUAUAAUCAAACCACAGGACGGCUGGCAAAAACAGGUCUGUUAUGCCCUUAGAUAUCCGAGGCGGCACGCGCGCUACAAUGAUAACGACAGCAGAGUUUCUAGGUUGAAAGACCUGGGUAAUCUUUGAAUCGUUAUCGUGAUGAGGAUUGACGGUUGUAAUUUUCCGUCAUGAAAUAGGAAUUCCUCGUAUGUGUACGUCAUUAGCGUGUACAGAAUAAGUCCCUGCCCUUUGUA
rnacentral:rRNA from 1 species